UACGUAGGUGGCAAGCGUUGUCCGGAAUUAUUGGGCGUAAAGCGCGCGCAGGCGGCCUCUUAAGUCUGAUGUGAAAGCCCCCGGCUCAACCGGGGAGGGCCCAUUGGAAACUGGGAGGCUUUGAGUAUAGGAGAGAGGAGUGGAAUUCCACGUGUAGCGGUGGAAAUGACGUAGAGAUGUGGAGGAACACCAGUGGCGAAGGCGACGUCUUUGGCCUAUAACUGACGCUGAGGCGCGAAAGCGUGGGGAGCAAACAGG
rnacentral:rRNA from 1 species